AUCCCGCUGACGAGUCCCGAAUAGGGCGAAACGCGCUUCCUGGAC
rfam:Schistosoma mansoni, Puerto Rico, WGS project CABG01000000 data, contig: 0132